UACGUAGGGGGCAAGCGUUGUUCGGAAUCACUGGGCGUAAAGGGCGUGUAGGCGGUCUGCUAAGUCUGAUGUGAAAUCCCCUCGCUCAACGAGGGAACUGCGUCGGAUACUGGCAGACUCGAGUACCGGAGAGGAAAGUGGAAUUCCCGGUGUAGCGGUGAAAUGCGUAGAGAUCGGGAGGAACACCGGUGGCGAAGGCGGCCUUCUGGACGGAUACUGACGCUGAGACGCGAAAGCGUGGGGAGCAAACAGG
rnacentral:rRNA from 1 species